GGAGAGGAUGACUCUCAGCAGCUGCAAGCUUCUGUUCCAUCAGCUAAGGGACUUCAGAGGAGCACAGAGGGCCCCUUGGCCCAGGGUGCCAGCACCUGACCUGGGACUCACUCUGAUUGGCCUGGCUUGGGAGGAAGGCUACACCCUGAGCCAAUCUCUGAGGUCUGGGGUGGAACUUUGAUUGGAUGGGCUCUGGUCACCUGCCCACAAUGUGGAAUUGUAGGGGUAAGGGGAGGAUCAGCUCCACCUGAAUCCUAGGAGCAGAGUUAUGUGUCAGUUUGCUAGCUCUGCUAUGACAAACUACCACAGAAGGGGUGUCUUAAGUAACAAGAAGUUAUCUCCCCACUGUAUGGAGACAGGAAGUCCAAGAUCAAGAUCUUGGUGUCUUCCCUACUGGACUCCCCAGGUGGUGCCAUGGUAAAGAAUCUGCCUGCUAAUGCAGGAGACACAAGAGAUGCGGGUGCAGUCACUGACUCAGGAAAAUCCCCUGGAGAAGGAACUGGCAGCCCAUUCCAGUAUUCUUGCCUGGAGAAUCCCAUGGACAGAGGAGUCUGGCAGGCUGCAAUCCAUGGGGUCAUAAAGAGUUGGACACGACUGAAAAGACAAACACACACACAUCCUCCCUAUGCAUGUGUGCUGAGAACAAGAUGUUUUGUUUUUAGGGUGUUUUUUUUAAAACUACUCUGUUUAAUUGUUAAAAAAAAAACCCACCCGCACAUUGUAGAUGAUCAAUAAAUAUCUAUGAAAUGAU
ensembl:lncRNA